UUGUAGUUUGAGUAAAAGAUUGUUUACUUGUCACAACUGAAAAAUGUCACCUUUCAGAAUGCAUGAUAAGAUUGCUGUAUUCUUCCUUAAAAUACUGUGGCAAAGUGAGUUCCUGCUCUGUCACUAUGUCUUCAUUUCCUCUUACAUCUCUUCCACUGCUAGAGUAGCCUGUAAAAGCUUUAGUUAUGCACCUUUUAACAUGACUCAAAUAUUCAUGAAGUUAAUCAGGGGCUGACAACACUUCUGCUUUGUUUCUUCAACUGGAAGUGCCCACUACAACCUAAAGAUUACAACUGUGAGGAGCCAAAGGCUGUUACAGCUUCAGAGGCCUGGGCUGACCUGCCCUGUGCAGGCUGCAAUGGCUGGGGAUGCUGGUGUGUGUCUAAUGAGAAGUUGCUGCACGGACUGUGUGGCUGGGAGCAGUGCACACUCACACUGCUAAAGGUUUUCUCCUGGCCCUGAAUCUGUGAUCCUGUUUGUAGUUCUCUAAUUGCAACCAGCAGAAGACAAGGGUGGUGUUGGUUUUUAUGACUUGUUGCUUAGCAGCAUUGAUCAACAGAAGUCCAACCUUUUCUUUUGCUGUGACCUCGGUGAACCCGGGCUUGGCCGGAGCUCACCAGUGGGGAACAAGGGUUUCUGAGGCUGUGUGAAACUCCUGUGCUGUGCCUUGUUAGCAGUGGCUGAGGGAAAGCAUCUCUUCUUGACCUCCUGGUUACCUUUGCCCUUUACUCCUCUUUCUCUCUCUCAUCACAUCUUAGAAGAAAGCAGGCACCGUCCUAGGAAGAUUUGGAGGAUGGGAAAUACAGGGACAAGUUAACUGUACUAAGAUGUAUCCUGCCUCUUUUCAGGAAAAGGAGCUAAGCUGGUUCCCAGACUGUGAUGUGAGACCCUCCUCUCAUGGAAGGAGAAGGACUUCAGCCAUCACAAAGGGAUUUCACAAACCGAACCAGAAGUGGUAUUGAACAUGGUUGAAAAUGAUUGAAGGUCUGCACUGGAUGUGUGCCUUUAUCUGUUCACAUCUGGCAAAGCCUGUAAAAUAAGAGCAAGGAGAGAAGUGGGGAACUCUGGUUAAGAUCAAUAAGCUUUUAGAAACAG